rnacentral:rRNA from 1 species
GACGAACGCUGGCGGCGUGCUUAACACAUGCAAGUCGAACGGAAAGGCCCUGCUUUUGUGGGGUGCUCGAGUGGCGAACGGGUGAGUAACACGUGAGUAACCUGCCCUUGACUUUGGGAUAACUUCAGGAAACUGGGGCUAAUACCGGAUAGGAGCUCCUGCUGCAUGGUGGGGGUUGGAAAGUUUCGGCGGUUGGGGAUGGACUCGCGGCUUAUCAGCUUGUUGGUGGGGUAGUGGCUUACCAAGGCUUUGACGGGUAGCCGGCCUGAGAGGGUGACCGGCCACAUUGGGACUGAGAUACGGCCCAGACUCCUACGGGAGGCAGCAGUGGGGAAUAUUGCACAAUGGGCGGAAGCCUGAUGCAGCAACGCCGCGUGCGGGAUGACGGCCUUCGGGUUGUAAACCGCUUUCGCCUGUGACGAAGCGUGAGUGACGGUAAUGGGUAAAGAAGCACCGGCUAACUACGUGCCAGCAGCCGCGGUGAUACGUAGGGUGCGAGCGUUGUCCGGAUUUAUUGGGCGUAAAGGGCUCGUAGGUGGUUGAUCGCGUCGGAAGUGUAAUCUUGGGGCUUAACCCUGAGCGUGCUUUCGAUACGGGUUGACUUGAGGAAGGUAGGGGAGAAUGGAAUUCCUGGUGGAGCGGUGGAAUGCGCAGAUAUCAGGAGGAACACCAGUGGCGAAGGCGGUUCUCUGGGCCUUUCCUGACGCUGAGGAGCGAAAGCGUGGGGAGCGAACAGGCUUAGAUACCCUGGUAGUCCACGCUGUAAACGGUGGGUACUAGGUGUGGGGUCCAUUCCACGGGUUCCGUGCCGUAGCUAACGCUUUAAGUACCCCGCCUGGGGAGUACGGCCGCAAGGCUAAAACUCAAAGGAAUUGACGGGGCCCCGCACAAGCGGCGGAGCAUGCGGAUUAAUUCGAUGCAACGCGUAGAACCUUACCUGGGUUUGACAUGGAUCGGGAGCGCUCAGAGAUGGGUGUGCCUCUUUUGGGGUCGGUUCACAGGUGGUGCAUGGCUGUCGUCAGCUCGUGUCGUGAGAUGUUGGGUUAAGUCCCGCAACGAGCGCAACCCUUGUUCACUGUUGCCAGCACGUUAUGGUGGGGACUCAGUGGAGACCGCCGGGGUCAACUCGGAGGAAGGUGGGGAUGACGUCAAGUCAUCGUGCCCCUUAUGUCCAGGGCUUCACGCAUGCUACAAUGGCUGGUACAGAGAGUGGCGAGCCUGUGAGGGUGAGCGAAUCUCGGAAAGCCGGUCUCAGUUCGGAUUGGGGUCUGCAACUCGACCUCAUGAAGUCGGAGUCGCUAGUAAUCGCAGAUCAGCAACGCUGCGGUGAAUACGUCCCCGGG